rnacentral:rRNA from 1 species
CGACCGGCGCACGGGUGAGUAACACGUAUGCAACCUGCCAUAUACAGGGGGAUAGCCUUCCGAAAGGGAGAUUAAUACCGCAUAAACAGGGGUACCGCAUGGUAAUAUUUGUUAAAGAAUUAUCGGUAUAUGAUGGGCAUGCGUUGGAUUAGGUAGUUGGAAAGGUAACGGCUUACCAAGCCUGCGAUCCAUAGGGGAACUGAGAGGUUUGUCCCCCACACUGGUACUGAGACAGGGACCAG